ACGAACGCUGGCGGCGUGCUUCACCCAUGCAAGUCGUACGGUAAGGCCCUUUCGGGGGUCCACGAGUGGCGACCGGGUGAGUAACACGUGAGUAACCUGCCCACAACUUUGGGCUAACGCUAGGAAACUGGUGCUAAUACUGGAUAUGUGCUCCUUCUGCAUGGUGGGGGUUGGAAAGCUCCGGCGGUUGUGGAUGGACUCGCGGCCUAUCAGCUUGUUGGUGGGGUAGUGGCCUACCAAGGCGGCGACGGGUAGCCGGCCUGAGAGGGUGACCGGCCACAUUGGGACUGAGAUACGGCCCAGACUCCUACGGGAGGCAGCAGUGGGGAAUAUUGCACAAUGGGCGCAAGCCUGAUGCAGCAACGCCGCGUGCGGGAUGACGGCCUUCGGGUUGUAAACCGCUUUCAGCAGGGACGAAGCUUUUUGUGACGGUACCUGCAGAAGAAGCACCGGCUAACUACGUG
rnacentral:rRNA from 1 species